rnacentral:rRNA from 1 species
UACAGAGGGUGCGAGCGUUAAUCGGAAUCACUGGGCUUAAAGCGCGUGUAGGCGGGCCGCCGCGUCGGCUGCUGAAAUCCCCCGGCUCAACCGGGGAACGGGCACCGAUACGGGCGGCCUCGAGGGGGGUAGGGGGGACUGGAACUUCCGGUGGAGCGGUGAAAUGCGUUGAGAUCGGAAGGAACGCCCGUGGCGAAAGCGAGUCCCUGGACCCUUUCUGACGCUGAGACGCGAAAGCCAGGGGAGCGAACGGG